GGAUCAUUAAUAUGAUCGGUAGGGGAGCAUUCCAGUCAGCGUCGAAGGCGUACCGUGAGGUAUUCUGGAGCGUUUGGAAAAGCAAAUGUAGGUAUAAGCAACGAUAAAGGGGGCGGGAAACCCCCUCGCCGAAAGACUAAGGUUUCCUGAUCAACGCUAAUCGGAUCAGGGUCAGUCGGGUCCUAAGGCUCAGCCGAACGGCGAUGCCGAUGGCAGAAACGGUUAAUAUUCCGUUACUACCUUCAGGAGUGACGUGGAGACGCAGUAGUGACAGUGCCGCCAUCUGACGGAAUAGAUGGUUGAAGGGUGUAGGAGUCGAUCAUGGCAGGCAAAUCCACCAUGAGAUCCGAACCUGAUAGUAUGCCGCGUCCUUCGGGACAAGGCAAUAGUGCGCGUAAGCAUGCUGCCGAGAAAAUCCGCUAAACUUAAUCCUGCAGGUACCCGUACCGCAAACGGACACACGUAGUCGGGAUGAAUAUUCUAAGGCGCUUGAGUGAUUCACGGUUAAGGAACUAGGCAAACUGACCCUGUAACUUCGGGAUAAAGGGUCCCUACCCUUUUAUGGGAGGGCGCAGAGAAUCGGUCCAGGCAACUGUUUAACAAAAACACAGGGCUGUGCCAAAUCGAAAGAUCCAGUAUACAGCCUGACACCUGCCCGGUGCUGGAAGGUUAAGAGGAGAUGUCAUCGAUGAGAGAAGCGUUGAAUUGAAGCCCCAGUAAACGGCGGCCGUAACGAUAACGGUCCUAAGGUAGCGAAAUUCCUUGUCGGGUAAGUUCCGACCUGCACGAAUGGUGUAAUGAUCUGGACGCUGUCUCAACCGUGAGCUCAGUGAAAUUGUAGUAUCGGUGAAGAUGCCGAUUACCCGCGAUGGGACGAAAAGACCCCGUGAACCUUUACUAUAGCUUAUCAUUGAAUCUGGGCACGUGAUGUGUAGGAUAGGUCGGAGGCUUUGAAGCAGGUACGCCAGUAUUUGUGGAGCCGCUGUUGAAAUACGACCCUUUAUUUGUUUGGAUUCUAACCCGUGGAACGGGGACAUUGAUUGGUGGGUAGUUUGACUGGGGUGGUCGCCUCCAAAAGCGUAACGGAGGCUUCUAAAGGUGCCCUCCGGCCGAUUGGUAACCGGCCUUAGAGUGUAAUGGCAUAAGGGCGCUUGACUGGGAGACUAACAAGUCGAUCAGGUAGGAAACUAGAGCAUAGUGAUCCGGUGUUUCCGUAUGGAAGGGACAUCGCUCAAAGGAUAAAAGGUACUCCGGGGAUAACAGGCUGAUCCCUCCCAAGAGCUCAUAUCGACGGAGUGGUUUGGCACCUCGAUGUCGGCUCGUCACAUCCUGGGGCUGGAGAAGGUCCCAAGGGUUGGGCUGUUCGCCCAUUAAAGUGGCACGCGAGCUGGGUUCAGAACGUCGUGAGACAGUUCGGUCUCUAUCUAUCGUGGGCGCAUGAAAUUUGCGUGGCUCUGACACUAGUACGAGAGGACCGUGUUGGACAGACCUCUGGUUUGCCGGUUGUGCCGCCAGGUGCAUUGCCGGGUAUCUAAGUUUGGAUCGGAUAAGUGCUGAAAGCAUCUAAGUACGAAGCCGGCCACAAGAUUAGAUUUCUCAGGGUCGUUGUAGACUACGACGUUGAUAGGAUGCAGGUGUAAAGGUAGAGAUACCAAAGCCGAGCAUUACUAAUUGCCCAAAA
rnacentral:rRNA from 1 species